UACGGAGGGAGCUAGCGUUAUUCGGAAUUACUGGGCGUAAAGCGCACGUAGGCGGCUUUGUAAGUUAGAGGUGAAAGCCUGGAGCUCAACUCCAGAAUUGCCUUUAAGACUGCAUCGCUUGAAUCCAGGAGAGGUGAGUGGAAUUCCGAGUGUAGAGGUGAAAUUCGUAGAUAUUCGGAAGAACACCAGUGGCGAAGGCGGCUCACUGGACUGGUAUUGACGCUGAGGUGCGAAAGCGUGGGGAGCAAACAGGGU
rnacentral:rRNA from 1 species